UGAGGAAUAUUGGGCAAUGGGGGCAACCCUGACCCAGCCAUGCCGCGUGAGUGAAGAAGGUUUUCGAAUUGUAAAGCUCUUUCGGAUGUGACGAUGAUGACGGUAGCAUCUAAAGAAGCCCCGGCAAACUUCGUGCCAGCAGCCGCGGUAAUACGAAGGGGGCGAGCGUUGUUCGGAAUUACUGGGCGUAAAGGGUGUGUAGGUGGACGUGUAAGAUAGCGGUGAAAUGCCGGAGCUCAACUUCGGAAUUGCCAUUAUAACUAUGCGUCUAGAAUUAUAGAGAGGAUAGCGGAAUACCCAGUGUAGAGGUGAAAUUCGUAGAUAUUGGGUAGAACACCAGUGGCGAAGGCGGCUAUCUGGCUAUAUAUUGACACUGAGGCACGAAAGCAUGGGGAUCAAACAGGAUUAGAUACCC
rnacentral:rRNA from 1 species